UUUCCGUAGGUGAACCUGCGGAAGGAUCAUUCAUAAUAGGUGUUUUACUGCACUUUUUAAAAAUAGUACUCACCUUGUGUGCAAUGUUGUGUUUCUUUUCGGAGAAACACCUACACCAACCUAUAACCUUGAACCACUUUGUCUGAAAAACUAUUAUGAAUACUUAAUUCAAAAUACAACUUUCAACAACGGAUCUCUUGGCUCUC
rnacentral:misc_RNA from 1 species